CCCUACGGGGCGCAGCAGUGGGGGAUAUUGCACAAUGGGGGGAACCCUGAUGCAGCGACGCCGCGUGGGUGAAGAAGCGCCUCGGCGCGUAAAGCCCUGUCAGCAGGGAAGAAAAUGACGGUACCUGAAGAAGAAGCCCCGGCUAACUACGUGCCAGCAGCCGCGGUAAUACGUAGGGGGCAAGCGUUAUCCGGAUUUACUGGGUGUAAAGGGGGCGCAGACGGCAAUGCAAGCCAGGAGUGAAAGCCCGGGGCCCAACCCCGGGACUGCUUUUGGAACUGCGUGGCUGGAGUGCAGGAGGGGCG
rnacentral:rRNA from 1 species